AUGAAAAUCUGCUCCUCAAAUCACAGUGAUUUAUUUAAUUAAUUGCUUUAAUUAAUCAGAAAUUUAUAAUCAAUCGCUUUGUUUUUUCACUGGCUAUCUGUUGAGUGAUAAAUUAUGGCUGGAUGUCACGUAUUUUUCACGAUAUUUCAUAUUGUUGAAAGUGGUCAUGUCACGGACCGAUGCCGGGGCAUUUGCUGUUCAAAGUGGCUGCAGAGACAAAAAAUAAUGGCCAAUAAUUAUUUGGAGUAAAUGACCUCAUAAGUGACAAAGGUCUUGGCAUUUUAUUGAACAAAACAAGUGAAGCAUUGAAGGCCUUGGUCACAUUUAUGUAUCAAAAAAGUCACAGAUACAUAACAAGUUGUCAUGAAUUAUCAUAAGGACAAUGAGAGUGAAGAACUGACAAGCAUUGUUUUUCCAUGUUGGUACUUCAUUGAACUAGACAUAAUGAAAGUAUUGGUUAAAUUAGUAUGUCCUGAGGAUUUAUUUAUCAAACAACUACGCGUCAAGCCAAGAUGAAAAAUGAUUGAUCCAGCAAUAUGUCCGUAACAUGACAUUCACCACAAUGUUGUUUUCAACAUCAAAUGUUAUUGAAUGUUCUUGUACUAAUUUGGACAACUGAAACAAGUGGUGCUGUGCUGACAGAGAAAAGACAAGGAUAAUUGAUGUUAUUUCAUGAAUAAAUUAGCUAUUUUACCACGACUAUCAGAAAAAACAAGUAAAGAGAAUAAUGAUGAUGCUGAUGGUGAUAAAAGUGGAUGCUAAUCAUAACAAGAUAAUUAAUGGAUUUUACCUGUGUGCUCAUUGUAAUCAUAUUCACAACAUAAAUCAUAAUCAUUGAUGAGACGCUGAGUUGGUGUUAGAGUUGGAGCAUCUGAAUAAUGCUGAUUAUGCUAUUCCUCAUAGAUCAUCUAAAUAAGGUAAGAGGCCUUCUGGUCACUUGAUUAACCAAUCCCUCGGGUUAAAUGUGCGUCAACAAGCUUGUAACUUUGAAGAAUCUAUUGUUAUAUUCUUUAAAGCUACUUGAUAAUCCCCGAUAUAUUUUUCAUAUAUAUAUAUUUGUGACUUGUUAGCUCACCUUGAUUACAUUUUUAUUCAAUUAUAAUUUUUUCAUACCAAAGUAAAUGGUCGUAGUUAAUUGAUCAAGGUGUGUACAUCAACCUGUCUAUCUCAAACAGAGUAGACGGGGGUGAAUAGGAUGUAUUUCAAUUUUCAGGUAUUCGUGAAUUCAAGACAUUAGUUGAUUUUUUUCUAUGUAAAAUUGUUAUACCCAUUUUAUUCCAUUUCAGGUUUAUUAUAAUAAUUAUUAGUUUUAAUUAACUUCUUG